UACGGGGGAUGCAAGUGUUAUCCGGAAUAAUUGGGCGUAAAGCGUCUGUAGGUGGUUGACCAAGUCUGUUGUUAAAAAUCAGGACUCAACCCUGAUCCGGCAACAGAAACUAGUAAACUUGAGUACGGUAGGGGCAGAGGGAAUUCUCGGUGUAGUGGUGAAAUACGUAGAUAUCGAGAAGAACACCAAUAGCGAAAGCACUCUGCUGGGCCGAAACUGACAUUGAGAGACGAAAGCUAGGGGAGCAAAAGGG
rnacentral:rRNA from 1 species